GUCCAAAUUCAAAAUAUUGGAGACGGUUUUUUUCACCCGGCCCCUCCUCCUCAGACUUGACGCACGCGCAGGUUGCCAGAUUAACGACACUAAAAGGAACGAGCGACCAUGCCGAUGAUUGAAGUUAAAUACGCUGUGUUUUCCGCCAACUGGCAACCCGCGGUGCCGAAAUACAAUUGGGUAAACUGGCAGUGGGCGGGUUUUACAAACCAUAACAAACACAGACAUUCAGGGCCGGAAUACACAUUUUCAAAGAGAAAAACUGACUGUAGAAUUGUUUUUCAGAUGAACAAGUAUGUUAACUUAGCAUGUUUCUUAAAUAUCUGCAAACAUAUUAUGGUAUUUGUAUGCUUUAGUAGAGUCAAAAUCCUACAUACAGCACUUUUAAAUCACAACGGCAAAUGAAGUAGGGCCUGUCUCAGGAUAAUCACGGAAUCAUAGAAAACCAUUUGUUUCUCGAAGCAGAUCGGUGGUUAAAGGUAAAUGGAGAUUAUUCCUGCCAUUACGAUAAAGUAAGCCGAGAAGGAAAGUCGUUUCAGAGGAAGAAGUGAAUCUUGAGUCAAGAUUAUGAAGACCAGUUUUUCUUUGGAAUAACGUGCAUCCAUGAACUAUUCGCACUUGAGCUGGAAACCUCAGGAGCCAUGCUUACAGGAGAGAAACCAUACUCAGUACGGUAAGCAUUUUGAUGUGACUCAUAAAAACUUUGAAUUUUUAACAAGGACAUUUGUCAUUUUGAAAUUCAUUACAGGUUUCAAACAAGCAUUACCAUGUACAUGUAAAGCCUGCCAAACAUUCAUCAAACACAUACAGACAAGGUUUUAUAUUACAAAUAAAAACUAAAAGCAAGACUCCAAAGAGUGGAUAUUACGUCUGUGCACUUUUUAAUACCAAAAUUCUGUUGUAGUUAAUGAGCAAUUUUGAUUAAGGCAACGCAUGUUACAUAACAGAUAUUCCUAGAAUGAUAUUUAGCAUGUGCAUAAUAUUGUUGACCCCCAAAUUUUAAAAGAAACUUUUAGAUUGGAAAUUGUGGAAGGAAAUGAACACUUUAAACAAUUUGCCUUUCGUAUGGGAGGAGUGUCUCUGUGCAACCAAAUCAAACAUUUAUGUCACAUUACCAAACCUCUUUUAAAAAAAAUAAAAUCUAUAAUAAAAAUCUUGAGAACUGACUGCCUAUGAGCAAAUGCUAACACAUGCUUUCUCCAAAUAUUAUAGACCUUAUCUGAAUGUGGUAAAGACUUAAGUAACGAUUAGCUGUCGUCAUAAUAAGGGCCACUUUAAAAUGCAUUCUGAUGUUUAUAUGGACUGACAGACUAUAAAGUCCUUAAUAAACCGGUUAGAGAGACAGUACUGUUGCAUGUGGUAUCAUUUCCCCGUCCAGAGCACCUGCACAAACACUGCGAUGAUCCAUUUACAUGUUCAGAGAGCAAAACAUUUGCAGAUGAAACGAGGCUGAAAGCUCUUCUGAAAACCCAUUAAAAUGAGAGAGGAUUCCUCUGGACAAGUCCCUUUGAGCGGCCAGACGCUGAUAAAAUGAUACUCAUGUACUGCCUGAAACUUCACAUCCAA